GCUCGGGUCGGUGGUGAGGACGCUCAGGCCGCCGCUCGGGUCGGCGGCGGGAUCGCUGCUCAGCUCGUCGCUCGGGUC
rnacentral:tRNA from 1 species